UACAAUGGCGUAAACAAAGGGAAGCGAAGGCGUGAGCGUAAGCAAAACCCAAAAAUAACGUCCCAGUUCGGAUUGUAGUCUGCAACCCGACUACAUGAAGCUGGAAUCGCUAGUAAUCGCGGAUCAGAAUGCCGCGGUGAAUACGUUCCCGGGUCUUGUACACACCGCCCGUCACACCAUGGGAGUCGGAAAUGCCCGAAGUCGGUGACCGAACCGAAAGGAAGGAGCCGCCGAAGGCAGGUCUGGUGACUGGGGUGAAGUCGUAACAAGGUACC
rnacentral:rRNA from 1 species